rnacentral:rRNA from 1 species
GACGUAGGGUGCAAGCGUUGUCCGGAUUUACUGGGCGUAAAGAGCGCGUAGGCGGCUCGUUAAGUGAGAAGUGAAAGCUGUGGGCUCAACCCACAAACCGCUUUUCAUACUGGCGAGCUGGAGUGAUGCAGAGGUGGAUAGAAUUCCCGGUGUAGCGGUGAAAUGCGUUGAUAUCGGGAGGAAUACCCGUGGCGAAGGCGGUCCACUGGGCAUCAACUGACGCUGAGGCGCGAAAGCGUGGGGAGCGAACAGG